UACGGAGGGUGCAAGCGUUAUCCGGAUUCACUGGGUUUAAAGGGUGCGUAGGUGGGCUGGUACGUCAGUGGUGAAAUCUCCGAGCUUAACUCGGAAACUGCCAUUGAUACUAUCAGUCUUGAAUACCGUGGAGGUCAGUAGAAUAUGUCAUGUAGCGGUGAAAUGCUUAGAUAUGACAUAGAAUACCAAUUGCGAAGGCAGCUGGCUACACGAAUAGUGACACUCAGGCACGAAAGCGUGGGGAUCAAACAGG
rnacentral:rRNA from 1 species